GACGAACGCUGGCGGCGUGCUUAACACAUGCAAGUCGAACGGUAAGGCCCUUCGGGGUACACGAGUGGCGAACGGGUGAGUAACACGUGGGUGAUCUGCCCUGCACUUCGGGAUAAGCCUGGGAAACUGGGUCUAAUACCGGAUAGGACUCCGGACUGCAUGGUCUGGGGUGGAAAGCUUUUGCGGUGUGGGAUGGGCCCGCGGCCUAUCAGCUUGGUGGUGGGGUGAUGGCCUACCAAGGCGACGACGGGUAGCCGGCCUGAGAGGGUGACCGGCCACACUGGGACUGAGAUACGGCCCAGGCUCCUACGGGAGGCAGCAGUGGGGAAUAUUGCACAAUGGGCGCAAGCCUGAUGCAGCGACGCCGCGUGAGGGAUGACGGCCUUCGGGUUGUAAACCUCUUUCAGCAUCGACGAAGCGAAAGUGACGGUAGGUGCAGAAGAAGGACCGGCCAACUACGUGCCAGCCGCCGCUGUAA
rnacentral:rRNA from 1 species